UUGUACAUAGUUUGUCUUUUAUUAUGAAUAAAGUUUGUUUUGUUUAAAACAAAGUUCGGUCAAGCAGCCGCGAGGAGGGACUGUGGCGUUCUCUCCUGAGCGCGAAGCAGUUAGCAAGCUUUGUUUUAUACAACGGUUUGCGGGCAUUGAUGACCAAUCCCUUCUCCCACUGCGGGAGUUGUGGAGGGAGGAGGAUCUGUCUGAGUGGU